rnacentral:rRNA from 1 species
UUGUCAGCCGCCGCGGUAAGACGAAGGUGGCUAGCGUUAUUCGGAUUUACUGGGCAUAAAGCGCGCGUAGGCGGCUUGGCAAGUCGGAGGUGAAAGCCUGCAGCUCAACUGCGGUGUGCCUCCGAAACUGCCGAGCUUGAGUGCGGGAGGGGUGAUUGGAACUCCAGGUGUAGCGGUGAAAUGCGUAGAUAUCUGGAGGAACACCAGAGGCGAAGGCGAAUCACUGGACCGCAACUGACGCUGAGGCGCGAAAGCUAGGGGAGCAAACAGGAUUAGAAACCCGUGUAGUCC